UUGAAAGGGAAACGAUUGAAGUCAGUCGUACCAGCGGGAAUCAGCCUUUCGAGUGGGGNUUUUGGAGUUUUUUGAAGAGUGUCAAAACCUUUGAGAUUUCAAAAUAUUCGCUCUUUUGGUGUACUUUCUCGUGGGUAGGUUAACAUCGAUUUUGAUCAUCAUAAAAAGAUUGGAGGAAUGUAGCUUCGAUCUUGUAUUGAAGUGUUAUAGCCUUUGGUAAAUGUGAUGAUUAGGAUCGAGGAUUGCAACGAAUACCCUUUUGGGCUAUCCGCCUGAUCUCUGAUACGUGGCCUUGGUAUCGAAAGCUUGCUUAUGGUAUUAAGGUAUUACGGUCAAAAGGUUAGAACGGAUUACAUUCGUUAAGGAUGUUGACGUA
rnacentral:rRNA from 1 species